GAUGAAGAACGCAGCGAAAUGCGAUAAGUAGCGUGAAUUGCAGAAUUCAGUGAAUCAUCGAAUCUUUGAACGCACAUUGCGCCCCUUGGUAUUCCAUGGGGCAUGCCUGUUCGAGCGUCAUUUGUACCUUCAAGCUCUGCUUGGUGUUGGGUGUUUGUCUCGCCUCUGCGUGUAGACUCGCCUUAAAACAAUUGGCAGCCGGCGUAUUGAUUUCGGAGCGCAGUACAUCUCGCGCUUUGCACUCAUAACGACGACGUCCAAAAGUACAUUUUUACACUCUUGACCUCGGAUCAGGUAGGGAUACCCGCUGAACUUAAGCAUAUCAAUAAGCGGAGGA
rnacentral:misc_RNA from 1 species